UACGUAGGUGACUAGCGUUGUCCGGAUUUACUGGGCGUAAAGAGCGCGCAGGCGGUCGUUCAAGUCGAGUGUGAAAGCCCCCGGCUCAACUGGGGAGGGUCAUUCGAUACUGAUCGACUCGAAGGCAGGAGAGGGAAGCGGAAUUCCCGGUGUAGUGGUGAAAUGCGUAGAUAUCGGGAGGAACACCAGUGGCGAAGGCAGCUCGCUGGGACGUCACUGACGCUGAGACGCGAAAGCGUGGGGAGCAAACAGG
rnacentral:rRNA from 1 species